rnacentral:lncRNA from 1 species
UACAGCACGGUUCAUUAAAUUAAAGGUAUAAUUAUCUAUAUACCCCUCGGACGUUUGAAAAUAUUCGAUUUAUCCUCUUUUUUUUUUCUUUCUAAAAUACCCCUCAUAUGUUCCACCGUUAUUACAAAAUACCCCCACAGUUAUCUCCUGUUAAGUUAACUUGAGUUAAACGUGAGUUAAACAUCUACCACAGUUACAAAAAAUUAAACUGCCAAUUUUGCCCUUAACUUAAGGGCAAAUAAGAAAUAUUGGUGACAGUAGAGAGGUAUAUUGAAAAAGACCAAAAGUCAAAAUAUUUUUUAUACCCCUAACUUUAAGGGCAAAUAAGAAAGCCAGUGAUGGUGGAAGGGUAUAUUUGAAAGGGCAAAAUAGUAAUUUUAUAGAGAUAACAUACUUAAUUAACAGAUUUUAACUCUAGAGGUAUAUUAAAAAUAGGUUGGAACGUAAAAAGGGUAUUUUCAAUAUUAGCCUUCUGAAAGGGGUAAAUCGAAAAGUCGGAAACUUUUCAGGAGUAUUUAAACAAUUGCCCCUAAAUUAAA